AAACGGCGUCUUCGAGGGCUCGUUCGCGCAGUAAGAUC
rnacentral:tRNA from 1 species